UACGUAGGUGGCAAGCGUUGUCCGGAUUUAUUGGGUUUAAAGGGUGCGUAGGCGGCCUUGUAAGUCAGUGCUGAAAUAUCCCGGCUUAACCGGGAGGGUGGCAUUGAUACUGCAGGGCUUGAGUAAAGUUGAGGUUGGCGGAAUUGACGGUGUAGCGGUGAAAUGCUUAGAUAUUGUCAAGAACACCGACAGUGAAGACAGCUAACUAAGCUUUAACUGACGCUGAGGCACGAAAGUGUGGGGAUCAAACAGG
rnacentral:rRNA from 1 species